rnacentral:rRNA from 1 species
UACGGAGGGUGCAAGCGUUAUCCGGAUUCCCUGGGUUUAAAGGGUGCGUAGGUGGGUAGGUAAGUCAGUGGUGAAAUCUCCAAGCUUAACUUGGAAACUGCCAUUGAUACUAUUUAUCUUGAAUUUUCUGGAGGUGAGCGGAAUAUGUCAUGUAGCGGUGAAAUGCUUAGAUAUGACAUAGAACACCAAUUGCGAAGGCAGCUCACUACGGGAAUAUUGACACUGAGGCACGAAAGCGUGGGGAUCAAACAGG